UAUGAAUAUGCAGCACCGCAUUAUAGCCUGGGCAGAUGAUGGAUUUGUGCUCUAUAAUCACUAUCUGUCAUUACCUGGGCAUCAAAUGUGCGUCCAGAAUGACAAAGAUUAUUAGGAUCACAAAGUAUAAACCCUGGAAGAAUCUCCUCUUCUUCAAUUCCUUUCAGUCUGAUUUUGAGGUUUUCACCUGGGGCUACGGUAUCAGUCUCUACAUCAUCGGAAAGUAUUCCAAGAACUUCCACGUUGUGCUUUAAAAGAAAACAAGACUGGAGGUUUUCUGACACAUU
rnacentral:lncRNA from 1 species